AAAAACAGUCACAUGUACAUAAGUGAAAAUAAAAACAUUUCACAAUUCACAAAAGUAAAAACACAGAUGCUUCACUUGAGAGCUUUCGUUAAAUAAGUGGGGCUGUUGCAGAUGCUCCUAAUCUUUCCACUAUGGUGCUUUCUACUAAGUGUGUCAUGAAUUUUGAACUAACCCUGAGAUGUGAAGGGACUGGAGGAAAUAGCAUCUAAAGACAAUUAAAGUCAACUUUUUCUCAGGGAUUUAGGAAGAGAGAUUCACUUCAAAGCCUCCAAAAUGAUGCAGUCGGGAUCAAAUGGUUUUACAAAGUAGAAUUGAUAAGAGAAAAAGUCAUCAAAGAAUUAAAAUAAAAAGGGGGUAAAUGGGGGGGGGGUAGUAAAACUGCCACAGCUGCCAUCUGCAUCUUCAUUACUUCCAUAAUGGGGAUAGAAUUUUUGAAGUGUGUGUUGUUUUUUGUAAACUGUUCCUCUGGCAAAAUUCUGCAUUUUGAGCAACAUCCGUCUUUCUUGUCUUUGGCAGAGUGGGCUGUGGAUGGAGUUAAAGUUUCAGCAAUCCUAUCUGGAAAAGCACAGCGCUUAUUACACGGCUCAAUUUCCAAUUCUCUCACAGGACGUGCAUCAUGCAGAGAUGUUAUCACCGUGGCAUCACCAGGCUGUGAUGUGGUGAAAUGAAGUGGAUUCUAGACAGACGCAGGCUCCUUUCAUCUGACUGCUCUUAGGGACUUUGUCCAGAUCUGUCAGAAUUCAGAGUUUUAGUGCAUGUUGAUGAACCUGAGGCAAUAUAAAGACGUGCCAAAACACGGCCGAAACACAGGAAUAAGCGAGCAUCUAUUCUAACCGCCCAGUUUUUCUUGUGCUUUGAUAAAAUGCCAGAGAAACGUUUUGCAGCUGGUACCACAUUGUGUCACUCUCCCUACUGCAAUUAUGACAUUUAAACAGAGCUGACGUUUGUUUUAUUUCUGUUUUCUAAAAAGCAGACUUUUGACAAAUGCCAGUCAGCACAGAAACAAUGGACAAUAACGCAACACAACAACAUAAUCAAAUUCCUUCAUGUUUACCAUCCUAUUAUGACCCAAAUACUUCAUCUUUGUUGUGGUUGCUAUAAAACUGGAGUGCUCAAGGAAAAAAGUAGGUCUAUAGGUGCCUUCUAAACAAAACGUCUGGCCUCUAUAAAGUUCAGUGCACGCUGGUGAAUUUGUGUAAAAGCAGACUAAGCAGGAUUACUCGACUGCUGUGGUCACAUGGUCUCACUAUUGCAGGAAAAGUACAGUACAGCGCUUGUUCAGGACUGAGUGCAAUACUUUCAGAACUUAACUUUCAGAAAAAAAAAGAAACAAAAAUGACUUUAACUAUUUGAAAAAGACAGAAAUUCACUUUAUUUCUUCUUUUGGUGCUUUCAGACUCAUUCUUGUCCAGGCACUAUGAAGGCCUGUGCCUAGGUUGAUGUCUGAUUAAGUAAGAGAGCAAAAUUAACUGCCCUCGGAAAGAAGAUAAAAAUUAAGUUGUUUUAUUCUUUCAAGGCACAGUUGUCAAGGCUCCUACCCUUGAAUAUACUGAUAAGAGCAUGAAGUUAUACAUUCAUUUAAGAUCAUCUGCUGGGUUUAGUUUAGUGUGAAGACACAAACAUCCUCACUGGAAAAGAGGAUGAAAUAGACUUUGGAUUAACUAGCCAGCAGGCUACAUCCACACUAUUGUGCUUUCUGUAUAAAAGUGGUGUUUUGCUACAAAAAUGAUUUCUGUCCACACAUAAAUAGUCCCUGUAUGGUCCUGAAACAUGUACGACAUGACCACAUGCUGGAUGUGGAAAUGGUCAGAAAUUGCUUGAAUAACAGCUUGCUUAUGAUGACUGUAGUCAGUAGUAACAUAAGACUAUAACUGCACACCUGCUACUCAAGCAGCACUGACAGAAUGGCCUGGAAAUCAGUUUCCAUGUUGAAUUAACAGCUGGUAAAGGUCAUGUGACUGGCGGGAAUAAAUCAGGGAUGGAUAUGAGGUGUCCAGAGUUUACAAAGUAAAAUAGGGUUGCACAAUGUUUUUGUAGUGGUGUGGAGACAAGAGUGAAAGUUACACCUUUAAACACAUUAGUGUGGAUGUAAGCCUCAGUGUUGUAGCAUGAUGUGUGAAAGGCACACACAAACACAAGCCAACAAAUGGAAAAGUGUUCAUCAUUGUCACCUUACAACCAAAA